GAACACGACAAAACCAACAACUGUUACCUUUGGUUUUUCGUUUUUGAUUGUCUUUUUAGCGGUAUGUACUAUUUAUUUUUAGAAAGCUUUGGUUUUUAAAUUAAUUUUCCUCCUCCUUUUUUGUUUUUAUUUCAUUCCAAAAUAUAAAAGACCACUUCCUUUUAAAAGGAAUUAGUCAAUCGUACGACAGAAAAAAGAGAGAUAAGCUUAGACGAAAUCGACCAAGGAUUUUUAUUAGUUUUAUGGUUCUUGCAGACAUCGAAUUAAGCUCUUUUUAAGGAUUGGUUGGUAUUUUUUGGUGAGACCUAGAGCUGUUUGAUAUUUCUUUGAAGUCAAGGAUUAGUUCAUGUAGACCAUGACUGAAUUUUAGCUUGGCAGUAGUGGAGUUAAGUAUCUUAAGGAUUUGGGGUUUAUUUUUGAAUGGAUCCCUUGUUUACAAGAGAAAGAGAUAUUGAAGUAGAUCUUGAAAGUGGUGGGAUUAACAGUGAGGAUGAAAGAACAAAAGAUCGUGUUCCAUCGAAUUUACAAACAAAGAGAACUCUCAGUGGAGUUUGGAGCGAUCUUUUGAGUUUUGAUAAGAUAGGAAAGGGUGAAUCCGGCAUAAACUCGUGCAGUAGUUCUUCCAGUUUUGGUGGCGGAGUUGAGGGUGAGAAUAUGGAAUGCUUGGUAGACAAGAAUUCGGAAGGAGAAGAGAAUCAUGAACUCAUGGCGGUAGCAGAGAAGAACUUAGCAGAAGUGAAGUGCAAGAAGAAAAGCACUAGGAAGCCUCCCAAACCUCCACGGCCACCGAAAGGUCCGCUGUUGGAUGCUGCUGACCAGAAGAUGGUGAGGGAGAUUGCUGAACUUGCCAUGAGGAAACGUGCAAGGAUGAAACGGAUUAAAACAUUGAGGAGGAUGAAAGAAGCAAAGGCAUCAUCAUCUAACAGUGGCCUUUAUGCUAUGGUUAUCACGGUUCUCUUUUGCUUCGUCUUACUCUUUCAAGGUAUAUGUUCCAGACGUGGAGCAACUGUGAUGUUAAACGGGUCUCCUGCAGCUGUGGUUGGUUCAAGUGAAGGCUUGAUUUCUGUUCAGUUUUCCAAGAGCUUUCCUACGACUGGAAAUCAUGACCACGAUCCUCCUAGUUUGUCAGAGCAGCUGGUUUCUGGUUAUUCGGUUAUUGAGAAAGAACCGGAAAAGUUGCCUGAAGAUGCAGAGAAAUAGCUGCCGAUGUCGAAUUUUACAAGAACAUCCAUGCAUUAGCCGGGAAGAGAUCAUCUUGCUUCAAUCUGGAGGAGUCGGAAUCUGAUUAUCUCAAUUCACCGCUUCUACCGCCACUACAGAGCACGAUUGGUGUAUUUGUGGUUUGAACACUGCAUCAAAGUUCACUUUUACGUUUGGGUCCUGUGGAGGUUUCCAGUGAGUUUUCAUGGUCUCUCUCUGGUCAGGUAAUUUCCGAUUUAUCUCAUCAAGCUCCCGUACUAGACUAGCCACUAUGAUUCUGAUAUCUUGAGCUGUUUGUUGCUUGCCUUCCAUGACCUGCUUGUUUCGAGCAUGCCAAAUUGCCCAAAUUGUGAUCGCUAUAACUUUGCAGGGCCACACCUUGUGAUGACAUGCAUCAAUGUUUCAGGCUCACCGCCACAUCUAGGACAUAUGGAGGAGGCCACAAUCCUUUUGUUGUUUGAAUAUAGGCCGUAAGGAUGUAAUUAUCUAGUAUUCGUCAGUUUGCAAUUUUUAUUUUAGGAGGAAUCUGUAAUUGCCAGAGUUUUUUUUUUUUUGUAAAUUUCUCUGCUCUCA